GGUCCAACGCGAGUAACAGCGUCCCCUGCGCAGCGCCACUGGCAGAGGAGCCGGAGUGGAGUUUGCAGGGGCCGGGGGAUAUGGGCAAGAGCAACCCAAGGAAGAGGGGACCCGUGCAAAUGAGGCUCAGCAAACCAGGGUGGAAGUGGCUCCUUGACAGCAGUGGCUGUGGCAAGGAGGGUGUCAGGAGAAGGGAAAUGGCCUUUGCCGGGCGUUAACCGGCUCAGAGCCACAUUCAGCCCCAAGUUGGCAGCACCGGCUUGGCAAAUGGACUGUUCAGCUGUCCCCCUUUGCCGUCCGGCUCCGAAAUGCUUUUCUAGAGCCCUAGGCCAAGACCAGUCACUCUGCCAGAGGUACAGCCGGCCGAGUCCAGAGUCACUCCGCCAGAGGUCCAGCCGGCCGAGACCAGAGUCACUCCGCCAGAGGUACAGCCGGCCGAGACCAGUCACUCCGCCAGAGGUACAGCCGUCCGAGACCAGUCACUCCGCCAGAGGUACAGCCGGCCGAGACCGGUCACUCUGCCAGAGGUACAGCCGGCCGAGACCAGAGUCACUCCGCCAGAGGUACGGCCGGCCAAGACCAGUCACUCCGCCAGAGGUACAGCCGGCCGAGACCGGUCACUCCGCCAGAGGCACGGCCGGCCGAGACCAGAAUCACUCCGCCAGUUACAGCCGGCCAAGCCCAGAGUCAGUCCGGUGGCGCCUGCUGGAGGCUCUGGAGCAGAACACAGCAGGAGUGGGGUGGCUGGCAGCGGUGCUACCCAACAGUAAAGGACGGGAAGUGAAGCAGACCUGCGCAUCCCUUUGACAGUGUGGCGAGUCAGACAGGGAGCCAGGGUACAUGGGGCUCCCUCCCUGUCCCCAGCAAGCCAGGCAAGAGGUUCUUACAAGGGGCACCAAAGUGCACUGGCAUCCCCCCUUCCCUCCAGGGCAUGUGCCUAGAGCUCCGAUUUCUCGGGCGCUCCUCGGCUCUGCUGCCCUGAAGGGGAAGGGGCUGCGGACCUGGGAUGCCAGAGGCUCCGGGCAUGAGGAAUCAGCUGUUUCUCCAGAGGCGGUGGGCUGGGGGCGGCUAACCCAGCUCUUUCCCCCU